rnacentral:tRNA from 1 species
GGGGGCUUAGUUUAAUGGUAAAAUUGCGGUCUCCAAAACCGCUGAUGGGGGUUCGAUUCCCUCAGCCCCUG